ensembl:lncRNA
UGACGAGAUCCGCUCUGUUAGCUUUAAUUACUUGUCUUUGUUCGUUCCUUUGUGAGUUUAAUGAAUGAGCCGAGCAAAAUUAAAAAUGCGUAAUGAAAUGAAACCCAAACAGCAGACAGUACGCCAUGUUUCCUUCAGAUGGGUGCGAGCGGGGGCGGAAAACACGGGCAUAAUCAUUUAUCCUCGUAAAGUUGAACCAUUUAGUGACGUUAUUAUCAUCUUAGCCGUCUCAGUUUGAACUAAUACGCCACAGUUGAAGAAACAGCAAGCCCUCCCAUUUGUUUCAGCCAGUUAUUUCCAUGCAUCGAAAAAGAUUGUUUGUCAAGAUUAUGCAUGACAUUAGAAAUGUCAGAUGCCUCGUACAUAAAGGAGACGGAUGUCAGUAUGCGGCGAGGAGGUGGAGAAGAGCGGAGGUAGGAGGGAGAUGAAUGUCAGCGCUGGAAAAACAAACGGCGCCCGCAAGCCUGUGCACCGUCCCCGCACUGAAUUAAACCCGAAUUCAUCAACUAACAGCCUGCCUUAUACCAGAGUCCGCAAUGGAGCCAAGCAGCCAUUUAAAUAGAUGAAACUCCUUCAGAUGAUGUCUUAAUAUCCUGUUUCACAACACUUCUGAAGGGAGGAAUGGAAAUGUGGCAUGAAUACGUUAACGUCUCACAGUCUGUGCUGCAAUCUGGGGAGAAUGGAAAGUCGAGAGAGACCAACUGACACAUUUCGGCAGGCAGGCCACACACACACACACACAUGCGUACACACACAAUCUCAGCUGCUGGCCAUGUUGCUGUGAAGGACACAAAUUCUGCCAUGCAGCCAUAUGAAUCCUGGCUGUGUAGGGUGAGACAGAUUAGUGAGAGCAGAGAAUAAUUCACACGGUGAACAGAUGAAGGGUUAUCAGUCCAUAUUCUGCUGCAUAAAUCUCAGAAUAUAGGCCUGCUGGGGCUAAAAAGAAAGAAAAAAAGAGAAAAGCAGCCAGGCUUUGGUUCUUAUCCUGCCCGCAUAAAAUGGAAGAGGCUAUGUACUAUUUUCUUAAUCUAAGAUUUUUGCAGUAGAGCCAUAAAGUAAAUGCUAUACUGCCAUUUAAGAAAGAAUCACCACCAUAACUUUAUAUAUGUGUGUGUAUAAAUUUGAAUAUUUACAAAAAAAUUGGAUUAUUAAAAGAUUAAAAUAUAGAUAGAAUUGUUGUAUGUUGUUGUCGUUAUACAUUUAAAUAAAAAUGAUUAUUAAAUAUGGGGUUGUGCCA